rnacentral:rRNA from 1 species
UACGUAGGGGGCAAGCGUUGUCCGGAUUUAUUGGGCGUAAAGAGCGUGUAGGCGGCCAGGUAGGUCAGCUGUGAAAACUCGAGGCUCAACCUCGAGACGUCGAUGGAAACCAUCUGGCUAGAGUCCGGAAGAGGAGAGUGGAAUUCCUGGUGUAGCGGUGAAAUGCGUAGAUAUGUGGAGGAACACCGAUGGCGAAGGCAGCCCCCUGGGUCAAGAUUGACGCUCAUGCACGAAAGCGUGGGGAGCAAACAGG